UAUAUUUUAGUAUAGGAAGUACAUAGAUUUUUGAAAUCUACAGGUAAAGUUUGAUUCUUUAAAAUGUAA
rnacentral:tRNA from 1 species